ACAGCUAUAUAACGCGAGUUUGAUCUACACUUUACUGAGUACUUCUAAACAGAGGACCUUCUGGAAGCAUCUGAGCGUCAGCUAUUCCGUAGGGCCGUGUUUCACUCUGCAUCAAGACAUAUCAGCAAAUUGCAAUUUCUGGCUGUAAUGGUGGGACGCAUCACGGCGCUUCUUCUGAUCUUUGCUAUGUACGCCUAUGGCAUCAUGGCCAUUCCAACUAAUCAAGAUGCUACAGCACGAGGCAGUUCAGUCCCGCCUGCUGCCAACGAGGAUGCAAGAAUCGAACUAGCUGCGCUUGGAAGCUUAGUGGGUGGAGGCGUCGGCUGAAGCUCACGUGAUUGGCUGCACCAAGAAAGCAGGGCAAGAAAACCCUACUUUUGUCGCUUGUUUACUGCUGUCUUUAUCGAGUGGCUUUUUCACGCCUGAAAGAGAAUAAAAUGGUGCAUAAAAGUUGCUUUUUUGUUUUAU